UGGGGUAAACCUGAGAAACCCAAAAGAUCGAAUGGGGAGAUUCAGCGUUCAACGACGUCUGGCUUCCGUGCGGCUUGCGAUGUUGGCCCGCCUCGUGCGGGCCGGCACGCUGUCGCUGCGGUUUUUAUGACCGGCGUCGUCGGCGUGCACUUCUCCCCUAGUAGGACGUCGCGACCCGUUGGGCGUCGGCCUAAGGCUCGUACGGUAGACUGUCGCGCUCCUGGCGCGGCAGACCCUCGAUUGCCCGGCCGACUGCUCGGCGGUAUUGAAUGCUUAUGUAACAAUGGUAUAGGGCCGCAUCGAAUGCGUUCGGCUCGUCGGCAGGCUCGUCUCGCUCGGAUUUACGGACCUGGUGCCGUUACUGGGCGCUUGACCUGGGCUGUUCAGCCGACGAUGUUCUCGAACUGGCCCCGAGAAGCGCGUCUCGGCGCGUUUCUCUUAUUUUUUUUUCGCCACUUUGUGCGCGAAAAAAAAAUAAUACCAGUCUGCGACGCUACUGCUUUGGGUAA
rnacentral:rRNA from 1 species